rnacentral:lncRNA from 1 species
CAAUCAAUCUCAAAUCAAAUUUAAUUAAAUCAUAUUUCAAUUAGACUUAAUCUCAGCCCAUUGGCUUAAUCAAAUUAAGUCAAUUAGCAAUCGAAUUGCUAAUCGAUCCUCCUGCAACACUUGCAUUAGGUUAAAUGUCAAUCGUAUUGAUCAUUUAAUCCUAAAACGAUUUUUAAUCGUUGAUCAACCAUCCGAUCGGAUUAUGAAC